UUUUUUUUCAAAUUGGAAUUGUGGGAGCAUUUCGUUUCCGCAGGCGGGCUCGUGUCAGUGCGCCGUUCUCUUGCUCAGUGUCCACACCCGCGCUCAGGACCCAGCGGCAGGAAGUUGAAAUACACUCGUCGGAAAAUGAAGUGUAUAACCC